rnacentral:rRNA from 1 species
AAACUUUCAACAACGGAUCUCUUGGUUCUGGCAUCGAUGAAGAACGCAGCGAAAUGCGAUAAGUAAUGCGAAUUGCAGAAUUCCGUGAGUCAUCGAAUCUUUGAACGCACAUUGCGCCCCUUGGUAUUCCAAAGGGCAUGCCUGUUCGAGCGUCAUUA